UACGUAGGGGGCAAGCGUUAUCCGGAAUCACUGGGUGUAAAGGGUGCGUAGGCGGUUAUGUAAGUCAGAUGUGAAAUACCGAAGCUCAACUUCGGGGCUGCAUUUGAAACUGUGUGACUAGAGUACAGGAGAGGUAAGUGGAAUUCCUAGUGUAGCGGUGAAAUGCGUAGAUAUUAGGAAGAACACCAGUGGCGAAGGCGACUUACUGGACUGAAACUGACGCUGAGGCACGAAAGCGUGGGGAGCAAACAGG
rnacentral:rRNA from 2 species